UUUCUGAUCCCUUGACUUUUCACCGACAGAAAGUUUUUUCUGAAUAAAUUAUUAGGGGAAAUUGCCAAAAACACCAUUUUCAAAAUACCACUUUUCAUGUUUACACUAACCACUUUUAUUCUCAUCUUUAGUGAAGGGUAAAAGACAUUUAUAACCUUUUGAUUACAUUUGACAAAAAAAACAUAUGGUUAACUAAUCUAAACUUAAAACAUCAACUCUAAACCCUAAAUCAUCAACUUUAAACCCUAAACCAUGAAACAUCAACUCGAAACAUCAACUCUAAACCCUAAACCCUAAACCCUAAAACUUUAAAUCUAAACCCUAAAACUUCAAUUCUAAACCCUAAACGUAAACCCUAAACUCUAAAUCUAAACUUAAAACAUCAACUUUAAACCCUAAAUCUAAACUUAAAACAUCAACUUUAAACCCUAAAUCAUCAACUCUAAACCCUAAACCAUGAAACAUCAACUCUAAACCCUAAAUCCUGAAACAUCAACUCUAAACCCUAAUCCUAAACCUUCAAAUCAAAACCCUAAAACAUCAACUCUAAACCCUAAAUGAAAACCCUAAACUCUAAACCUUAUAUUUUUCUGAAAUUCGAACCCUAAACCCUAAAACCCUAAACCUUCAAAUCUAAACCCUAAAACAGUAACUCUAAACCCUAAACGUAAACCCUAAACCCUAAAUCUUCAAAUCUAAACCCUAAAACAUCAACUCUAGGGUUUUAGGGUUUAGGGUUUAGGGUUUAGAGUUGAAAGUUUAGGGUUUAGGGUUUAGAGUUGAUGUUUUAGGGUUUAGGGUUAAUUUGGGUUUAGGGUUUAGAGUUGAUGUUUUGGGGUUUAGGGUUUAGAGUUGAUGUUUCAGGGUUUAGGGUUUAGGGUUCGUAUUUCAAAAAUAAAUAGGGUUUAGGAUUGAUGGUUUAGGGUUUAGAGUUGAGUUUUUUAGAGUUGAUGUUUUAGGGUUUAGGGUUAAUUUUUUAGGGUUUAGGGUUUAGAGUUUACUUCUUAGGAUUUAGGGUUUAGUGUUGACAGUUUAGGGUUUAGGGUUUAGAGUUGAUGUUUUAGGGUUUAGAGUUGAAAGUUUAGGGUUUAGGGUUUAGAGUUGAUGUUUUGGGGUUUAGGGUUUAGAGUUGAUGUUUCAGGGUUUAGGGUUUAGGGUUCGUAUUUCAAAAAUAAAUAGGGUUUAGGAUUGAUGGUUUAGGGUUUAGAGUUGAGUUUUAUGGUUUAGGGUUUGAAUUUUGAAAUAGUAUAAUUCAGAAAAAAAUUAGAAACAUUAUUUUUUAUUUUUUUAGAUUUUUAUUUAUUUAAAUAUUUACUUAUUAUAUAUAU
rnacentral:lncRNA from 1 species